GCAGGAAUAGCUCAGUUGGUAGAGCACGACCUGCCAAGGUCGGGGUCGCGAGUUCGAGAGUCUCGUUUCCCGCUCCA
rnacentral:tRNA from 1 species